AGCGAACGUUUGCGGCGGGCCUAACACAUGCAAGUCGAACGCACUAGCAAUAGUGAGUGGCGCACGGGUGCGUAACACGUGGGUAAUCAACCUUUCAGCUUGGGAUAACGACUUGAAAGGGUCGCUAAUACCGGAUACGGCGCGGGAGGCUUCGGCUUCUCACGAGAAAGCCUCGCAAGGGGCACUGAAGGACGAGCCUGCGGCCCAUCAGCUAGUUGGUGAGGUAAGAGCUCACCAAGGCGAAGACGGGUAGCUGGUCUGAGAGGAUGAUCAGCCACACUGGAACUGAGACACGGUCCAGACUCCUACGGGAGGCAGCAGUGGGGAAUAUUGCGCAAUGGGCGAAAGCCUGACGCAGCCACGCCGCGUGAGCGAUGAAGGCCUUCGGGUCGUAAAGCUCUGUGGGGAGGAGACGAAGAAAGACCCGUGAAGAGCGGGCCGUUGACGGUAUCUCCUUAGCAAGCACCGGCUAACUCCGUGCCAGCAGCCGCGG
rnacentral:rRNA from 1 species